UCAGCGGGGAAAGAAGACCCUUUUGAGCUUGACUCCAGUCUAGCAUUGUUCGGAGACAUGCCGAGGUGUAGCAUAAGUGGGAGGUAGGGAUUUACACGUUCGUUAAUCGAAAGAUUUUCGUCGUGCCUUACCGCCGUUGAAAUACCACUACUCGCAUCGUUUCCUUACUUACUCGGUGAUGCGGAGCGCGUGCUGUUUGGUCCUGGUCUUUGGUCGGUGCCGUUUUGUUCGUCGUGUGCCGGUGGUUAUUCGGUUACGCUUGUAAACCUUCAUCGUAGCCCUCGUUGUUCGGAUUUAUUACGUGUACUUUAUUGGGCGCGUGAUAUUUCCGCAGCGUGGUGUCUCUUUGUCGUGUUUCUCGCGUUCAUCCGAAUAAUUUAACCGACAUCGUCGGCUCGGUAUCGUAUCGGAGUCCGUCGCGGCCUGCAGUCACGAUCGGUUCCCAGUAGAAUUAAGCGCAAUCGCGACGCCUGUCAGUUUGAACGGUCUCCGAUAUAGUUUCGAAGUGCUUGUCGUGUAUCUGUUCGUUUCGCGACGAAUAGAUUUCGGUAGGUACUUUGAAGUUGUAUCGCCCGGUCAGACCUGGUGUCGUUGCGUGAUCCGAUUCGAGGACACAGUUAGGUCGGGAGUUUGACUGGGGCGGUACAUCUGUCAAAGAAUAACGCAGGUGUCCUAAGGCCAGCUCAGCGAGGACGGAAACCUCGCGUAGAGCAAAAGGGCAAAAGCUGGCUUGAUCCCGGACGCCCAGUACGCGUAGGGACUGCGAAAGCAUCGGCCUCUCGAUCCUCUCGUUU
rnacentral:rRNA from 1 species